rnacentral:rRNA from 1 species
UUGAACGCUGGCGGCAUGCUUUACACAUGCAAGUCGAACGGCAGCAUGGGCUUCGGCCUGAUGGCGAGUGGCGAACGGGUGAGUAAUGCAUCGGAACGUACCCAGUCGUGGGGGAUAACUAUCCGAAAGGAUAGCUAAUACCGCAUACGUCCUGAGGGAGAAAGCGGGGGACCUUCGGGCCUCGCGCGAUUGGAGCGGCCGAUGUCGGAUUAGCUAGUUGGUGGGGUAAGAGCCUACCAAGGCGACGAUCCGUAGCGGGUCUGAGAGGAUGAUCCGCCACACUGGGACUGAGACACGGCCCAGACUCCUACGGGAGGCAGCAGUGGGGAAUUUUGGACAAUGGGCGCAAGCCUGAUCCAGCCAUGCCGCGUGAGUGAAGAAGGCCUUCGGGUUGUAAAGCUCUUUCGGCCGGGAAGAAAUCGGCCAGGCUAAUACCCUGGCUGGAUGACGGUACCGGAACAAGAAGCACCGGCUAACUACGU